GAUGAAGAACGUAGCGAAAUGCGAUACUUGGUGUGAAUUGCAGAAUCCCGUGAACCAUCGAGUCUUUGAACGCAAGUUGCGCCCGAAGCCAUUAGGCCGAGGGCACGCCUGCCUGGGCGUCACACGUCGUUGCCCCCCCAUCUACUCCUUCGGGAUUGCGGGGGGCGGAUGAUGGCCUCUCGUGCGCCUCGUCGCGCGGUUGGCCUAAAUGCCAAGUCCUCGGCGUCGCACGCCACGACAAUCGGUGGUUGCGAAACCUCGGUUGCCUGUCGUGUGCGGUCGUCGCGCAUCGAGGGCUCGAAAAAAUUGCCGGGCUUCGGCUCGACUUUCAACGCGACCCCAGGUCAGGCGGGGUUACCCGCUGAAUUUAAGCAUAUCAAUAAGCGGAGGA
rnacentral:misc_RNA from 1 species